rnacentral:rRNA from 1 species
CAGUAGCCGCGGUAAUACGUAGGGUGCGAGCGUUAAUCGGAAUUACUGGGCGUAAAGCGUGCGCAGGCGGUUAUACAAGACAGAUGUGAAAUCCCCGGGCUCAACCUGGGACCUGCAUUUGUGACUGUAUAGUUAGAGUACGGUAGAGGGGGAUGGAAUUCCGCGUGUAGCAGUGAAAUGCGUAGAUAUGCGGAGGAACACCGAUGGCGAAGGCAAUCCCCUGGACCUGUACUGACGCUCAUGCACGAAAGCGUGGGGAGCAAACAGGAUUAGAUACCCCCGUAGUCCCUGUCUCUUAUAU